rfam:Gossypium raimondii chromosome 9, whole genome shotgun sequence.
AAACCAUUCAUCGGGCAUUUUCUCAGUAGCUCAUUAAACCGCUCCCAUGCUUCAUAUAAUAUUCCAUCCUUUGAUUAUCUAAACGAUGUAAUAUCGUUCCUCAACUU